GUCGGCACACUUGGAUUUCCUGGUUGAAAGGGGUACUCCUUUGAAGGAUCAAGCUUGAAAGAGUAUUUCUGAUCAAUGACAUUGAGUUGCAGGCCACUGAAGAAAAUAAAGUCCAACCCCAAGACUACAGCAUAGGCUAGAGCUUGGGAGGAAAGUACAGCAGUAGGUAAGGUAAAUGAUUGGUCGUGUAAAUGGAUUGUGGUGUUCAGCCAUCCUAAUGGAAUCUCUGCUUUUCCAUUUGCCAGAUAAAGAGGACCACGGCACCACGGUUGCAGCUGGUCCGGGGAUGUAAGUUGCCUCAUGAGAUUCUCAUUGAUGAGUGUGUAGCUUGCACCAGUGUCCACAAUGGCCUUUCCUGACCAGGCAUCAAUACAAAGUGGGACAACUAGUUGUUGAGGUAUCGCUACACGUUCAUUAGAGCUUGUGGAUGAGGAGGAGGUUUUCUUGGUUGCUGAUUGUGACUUAUGAAUUCUCGUUGCAGCAACAGAGUUGUUGGACGGGUGACCACCUGACUUGGGGUGAUAAGGUUGUUUGCCGCUGAUAGAAUACUGUGGACCAGGUGCUUGGGAUGACUGGGGAGAGGUAUAGUGUGGACAUUUUCCGGGUGGAUGCUGUCCUCUACAUCUCCAACACUGAACUGGGAUUUUCUCAGUAGUUGAUGUCCUAAUUUUACCAGCUCUUCCACAGUAUUCACCCGACUACGCAAUUGGCUGGCAAGUACGGACACGUUCUGCCAGUUCGUCCUCAUAAUCCUCAGAAAGGAAAGCAGAUAAGAAUGCAGCCUCAAACUCAUUCCAGGUGGUUAUGUUGGACCGUCUGACUUCCCACCAGUCACGUGCUGUUCCGUAUAAAACAGUACGGAAGGUAGCCAAGAUGUCUGCAUCUGUCAGGGGAUGUAGAGCCAAAAAAUCCUGACAUUUGGUUAAGUACAGUAAGGGGUCUGCAUCGUCUGAAGGCCUUCCAAAUGUGGGGAAAGUUAAUCUUAUAUGGUCACUCUUAACCACAGAUGUUGAAAGAGGGGUUGAAGAAGAUGAUGUCACUGGAGCAGAAACAGAUGGCAGAGAUGAAGUGGUGGUGCUAGGAUCUGGUGGUGUCAAUACACUUAACUUUCGUUGAUCCGCACUUUCUUUGACACUUUGAAAUCCUUUCUCCACUUCACUUUUCAAUUCUUUGAAACUGGUGAGACAUUGAUCAGUUUGUGUAACACAUUGUUGGAGUUGUGAAUUUAUCUUAUCAUGGCUUGUUUGGAAUAUGUUUUGAACAGCUUUGAUGUCCUGCUGAACCUCUGACUGGAGCUGAUCAAUCAUAAAACGUAGUUCAGAUACCAAGGUAGAUUCCACCUUUUGGAGUUCUCCUGUGAUCA